GUGCUUGGCUCAGCAGCAGAGCUACUCAAAUUGGAAUGAUACAGAGAAGAUUAGCGUGGUCCCUGCACAGGGAUGACGCACAAAUUUGUGAAGUGUUCCAUAAAAAA
ensembl:snRNA U6 U6 spliceosomal RNA